UCACGUUCCGGCGGGGCCUCGGGCAGCACAGAGCAACUGUGUGUGCCAGGAGCCAUCAGAGUCCCGACUUUACGCGGGAGAAGACAGAGGCACAGAGAGGUUCAAAGUGACCCGCCUGCUGGCACCCAGCUGGGCAGUGAUGGAGCUGGGAUUCAAACCCCACGCCGUCUGCCUUCCAAGCCCACGCAGUUUAUCCCUGUAACGCCCUGCAAGUCGACACGUUGAGUGGGCCCUUGGAUGUAUGGAUGUGGAUCUCAGGGGAAUGGUCAGGGCUGAAGACACACGUUUGUAUUUCUUAAGAGAAAGCCGUCUUUGGUUCCUCAUUAAGCCUUGAUUGGCGAGGGGAGAGAGGAACACAGGCGGUUGGCGCUGUGCUCACUGGCCUUUCAUUACUUGAUUGCGUUCAGGCAGCCGGCAUCCAAUAUUCCCCCUCUGUGAGGUUCAGAGGGUGAGGUCCGUAUCUCUUCUGCUUCUCUGUCUCUAGUCCCGAAUCUGGUGCUUGCCAUGCAGUAGAUGUUAGGGACGACUUUACAUGCGGGACGCUGGCUGAGGUUUGGGGGGUUCAGAGAGGAAUAAAACAUAGCUCUCUUUCUGGAGGAAAGGGAGUGAGGAAGGACCCGUGGGGAUAAAACUAGAGUGGACGAAACGCACACUGAUGAGUUCAUCCUGGCCUCCUUGCCGCCCCCGCUCUGCCCCGCACGCUUGAGGGUGGGGCGGGGAGGGGUCAGAGGAGCAAAAGAAGGCCUGAGCGGUCGCGGGAUGGAUUUGAGGUUCCCCAAGAGUCCUUUUCAAGAAAAGAAUGACUCAGAGCCUUGCCUCGUUUACUAUAUUUACAUUAGUUUUAUUUGGCAACCGUAUAAUUUUUCCCAAGUGGAAUACAGUUUGAUAUUUGAAUAUCAUGGUGGAGUGAUGAGUUUUUCCAGUUCUGUUACAUCAGUGUUGACAGGGCCCGCUGGUGAAAUAAGGGAGUUGCCUUAAAAUGUUGCAGCUUGCAUAAUAGAGGGCGAUGGAGGGGUUGUGUGAAGUGUUUAGGCAGGUUUCCACCCGGUUAAGUGAAUCAGGCCAAAGUUCCACACAUCGGAAUGAGUUUGAGUUUCUCUGCUGAUCAUCCCUUUAACACUGAGCUAUAUUUCUUGCCAGAGAAGGAGGAUCUGGUGAUAUUUGUCAUGAGUGGAAUUAUGUGGAACAAUGUGGAAACACAGAACUUGAACCAUACACACAAAAAUAGGAUUAAAAGGAUUUACCAUACAUCUUAUGACUCUUUAGUGGAGCCUUGGGAGAUAGGUUUGACUGUUGAACUCAAGGAUGAAACAAUAAGUGUUCAUGAUACCAGUCUCCAAAGGCAAAUUGUUAUUCAAGUCAAAGACAUCAUAAUGCAGAGUGCUUUCUCAGUACCACCAAAAGAUCAAGGAGGUGUUUCCCUGCUCACCAGUCCUGUUGAGAAACAGCUGACUCAGAAGAAGUCGGAAUCUCCUGGAAAGACAGCAUGCACAGGUGAAUCAAACAGCCCUCCUGGAACGAUUCAGGGUGGGAAGGGUCUGCAGGGUAAGAGUCAGUUUAGAACCAUCGCUCCAAAACUUGCGCCCCAAGUCCUGGCGCCCAGAGUGCUCCCGGGCCCGGCGCCCUCCCUCUCUGACCACGCGCAUCCAGGCCCGUCCCUCGGCUCGAAGGCCCUGGGGAUGCCCCCCCAGAAUUACGCGCUGAUGCAGGUGGCCGGCCAGGAAGGGACCUUCUCUCUCGUCGCUCUGCCACACGUCGCCUCGGCUCAGCCACUCCAGAAACCCAGACUGCCUCUGCCCAAGAACCUGAAGCUGCCCAUCCCCCGGUACCAACGCCCAGGACAUAGCAAAGGAGCCAGAAAGAAACCGGGGUUCAGCUCCUCCGACAGGGGCUGUAGCCAAGCUCCCGCCCAAACCCAAGCGGCCCCUCCCCUGCCUGAGCAUCCCGAGGCCCCGCACAAGCCCAGCCCACCCAAGCCGGCGCUGGCACCCGGCCAGGCCCCGGCCUCGCUGACCAAUGGGGGUGGCCAUGGAGACCCUGGGCCUCCAGGGACCAGCGACCACGGAGGUCGGGACCCUCCCGCCGCCCCAGCGCUGUCCACGCCGGAGGAGCCCUCUGCCGAGCGGGGCCUCCCGAAGAGUUCAGGGAGAGCAGGCGUUGCAGGCAAGAAGCCCUCCAGGAAGCCUGCUGUUUCCAGGGGAGAACUUAGAGAACAGGUCGACCUUGCCAGAGCUGCGAGCCAUUUGUCGCCAGGCGUUACUGGAAACGCGGUUCAGGUGGUCUCUUCCAUCCCCGGAGGUAAAGUGCCCAUCCUGCCCUACUCAAGAACGAGGGCGUCGCAAGUUUACAAAGGCGGAGCAGCUGUGAACCUUGCGGAUGUUUCUCUCCCUGGGCUCGGGGCAGCCGGUGAUAAGACCUCCUCCGUCCCGGAAGGCUUCUGUUCGGCCCCCCAGGUGGCCGACAGGGGACCUGAACCACAGGCGUCGAGGCAGAGCCCCUGCGACAGGGCCUACUGUCCGGCCACCAAAGCCGACCUCAACCACAAAACAAAACCGAACGGCGGGGCAGCCAAGAGAAGAGGAAGAAAACGGAAAGUCCCGGAUGAACUUCUGACAUUUCAGGGUAAAAGGAGGAAAUGUGUCAUUAAUAAGUGUAAAGAUGGCAAAGAAAGAGCCAAAGCCGAUCCCCAAGAAUCCAAGGACCAAAAACCUGGGGCUGUGAAAAAAUACCGUAGCAUCAUGCCCAAACCUGUCGUGGUCCUGCCGGCCCUGGCUCCCCUGGCCUCGCCCGCGGCCACGUUACAGCCCCCCGCGCCCGGCAGCCGGGCGCUCGCGUCGUUCAAUCACUCCCUCGCCCCCAAGCAUCCGGGCGGCAGGCCGGACGAAGGCCCCUCCCCGAAGCCCGGCUCGGCCUUCAGAAAUGGGUUCUCCGGCCUCAGGAAGCCUUGGCACGGAUGCCACGUGUGCGAGCGCCCCUUCCAGCCCAGGCAGCCCCUCCGCGAGCACGCCAGCACGCACGCCGACAGCCGGCCCCACAGCUGCCGCCUCUGCCGCAAAGCCUCCGUGCGGCCGGGCGGCCUGAGCGCACACGUGCGGCUGCUUCACGGCGACUCCCGGCCCAGGAGGCUCGUGUGCUGCGAAUUCUGCGCGAAGGUGUUCGGCCACGUCAGAGUCUACUUCGGCCACCUGAAAGAGGCGCACGGGGUGGCCGUCAGCACCGAGCCGCAGCCGCAGCCGCAGCCGGGGGACCUGCUGAGGACCAGGAAGCAGACUGCCCGAGGGAUGGAGGGACCGGUGGACAGACUUUUUGACCCAGGAACUCCACUUCCAGGAAUCUGGCUUAUAGAUAUUACUGCACGAGUUCACAGACAGAUGUGGACAAAGAAAGUCGCCUGCCGUGUCAGUAAACAGAGGAUGUUGCAGCCAUCAAGCUGUCAGCCACUACAGCCGCCGCAGACUGUGCGCCCUGAGCGGAUUCAGGAUGGAGAAGCCCAGGAUGCUGGCCCCAGAGAGCUAAGCAGUAGCUGGGCUGCCAUCGUUCGGGAAGGCCUCGGCAAUACUGUGAAGGAAGCAAAAGUCGUCUGACCCCUUGAGCUUGAGCACCUGCUGUCUGACGGUACCGCACCACGGCCCACAGGCUCCCCAUAUGGAACAUCAGGCCAGAUGUUUUACUGACGUCACAGAUAACUAUCACUGCAGUAUUUAAAUGGACCCCAAGAGAAAAGCUCCAGAAUUUUCUUAAUUGCCUUCUAAAGGGAUCACCUGAAUUCACCUGUGCGGGGGCUCAGAGGUGCGCUACAGCAGCUUGGGACACCCAUCCCACCCCCCCAUCUGGCAGCCCAGCCUCCACCCCCUCCUCCAGGGCUUGGGGCCCCCAGCCUGUGCCUUCCCUUCUUCCUGGGCUGAGGGAAGGAUGGUUCCAGAAGCCGCUUUGCACCUUGCCUGUGUAGCAAUGUCCGUCGGCACGUUCCAGCGCUGGCUGGGAGCAGGGCCCUCCUGGCGCCCCAGUCUCCACGGAGGGUGACCCUGCAGUUCCGGGAGAUGCGUGAUGAUGCGGAGGUCGGAGGCCACCCUCUGUGGAGGCCUUCCCAGCCUCUCUAGAGAGAGGGUCCGUCUCCCCUUGCCCUGGGCCCCGCUGCCUUUGGGAAGCUGAAUGGCCCGUCAGAAAACCGCGGGCCCAGGCGCCAGACAGACGUGGAUUUGGAUGCUGGCUCUGCCCCUCACUGGCAGCGUGAACCAGGGGGUGACUCUCCGUCCCACGCCUUCACUUCCCCCUCCGAAGAAUGGGCCGAUUCCGCUUCAGUCAGAGGCUUGUGGGCAGUAAGGGGAAGCCCAGGCCUGGGGCAAAUACUCUGGAGACUUGGGUUUUCUUCCCCUCAGGCUGCCUUGGGUGACUUAUUGGUGCCACCGACAAUGAGUUCCUCAAAGCAAGGAGGGGUGACUCCUUAUCACACCUCUUCCAAACUACCUGUUGGGGCAUCAUGUAAGGGACUGGCAUCCUUUGCCCGUGGCCAGAAGCCACGGUGUCCCUCUGCAGCGAGCUUCCUGAUGGUCAGCGUUUUCACCAGACAGGACGCCAGCGACAGAAAUGCAACUCGAAGCGGGGAAGGUGGGGGGCAGGGUUGGCUAACCCAGCCAGGAAGUUCAUGCAGCUGCCGCCAGAUGCCCAAGUGGUGAUGUCACCAAGGCUCCAUCGCUGGUCCCCUCCGGCUUGCUGGGUUUAUUCUCCAAACAGGCCUGCACGUGGGGCUGGCAUGGGCCGGGCCUUCGAGCUCACGGCCGCACCGAUCAGCCUCCCUGCUCGGCCAGCAGAAUGUCCGGGCAGGCCCUGGGGCCUGGCCAUGGGUCUGGGCUGUGUGCUGUCCCUCCUCAAGCCCCGGUCACCUGCCCGCUCUGGGUCUGGGACAGGGCGCAGUGACUAGAGAGCCCCCGGAGCACACAGGCACACCCGCUCUGUGGAGAGAGGGCCCCCCCAGGGAAGGCGUGCCGGACACACAGAGGCAGACGUCCGUUCCGAACGGUAAGCACAUCGCCCAGGCUCCCUCUUGUGUCCACGUCUCUUGCAGAGAGGGUUGCUUCAUCCUUCCCAACCAGAGAGAAAGCGGGAGACUCCAGUUGGAAGGCCCUGGGUGGGGUUCGGAGGGCGGAGGGAGGAGGCCCUGAUUCCAUGAAUCUCUUUUUAUGAGCGUGGCCACAGCUGUGGCGUCUCUGGUUCUCCGGGGGCCCCCGGGGUGGGACUGACAGCCUCUGCCUGGAGACAAGGCCGGGCUGCGGGGACCGGGGAGCAGGGGGUGAGCCGGAGACGCCUCUACUCCCCGGGCCCGGCUCCAGCCUGAACCAGGCUCAUCAGUCAGAUCCUUUAUCUCUCGGAUUGAAAUAUUUAUCGGGCUUUUUCCAAGGCCACCGCGGCUCUGGAAACCUUUCCCAGCACCCUUCCUUGGGGCCGGAAUCUGCCAUCACGGAGCCUCGUGCUGGCGGGGCAGCAGUGGGGCUGGGCGCUACCUCUGAAGGGCGGCCAGGCCACUGACCGGCCCAGAGGAAUGAGGGCUCAAGUUCAAGGGCAACGUGCAGUCUCCUCUGCCCCUCCAUCCUCACCCUCCCUCGUGCUCUGCCCGCAGCUGGCAGCGGAAUCAUCCCGUGGAGGGCCAGCCGCCCACACCGGGAGGGAAGGGAAGCGGGGCACAGGGGGCUCUCAGGAACCGGGUGCGUGCCGCGGGACAGCAGACGAGGGCUUCCUGGGGGAGGCGACGUAGACCGGGAGCCUGGAGGAGGGAAGGCGUGCAGGGAGGACGUGACGCUGACCCGUGGGUGCCGGCAGGUGGCAACUUGCCCCAUAACAGGGCGGGGACAAAGGGAAGAGCUUCGGCGGGGAGCAAACUGGAAGAGCCCACGUCACCUCGGAACUCACCGCAGAGACGUUUGGACCAAACCUGGUGGUGGCAGCACCUCCUACUCCCACCUUGACUGCAGCCUGCGUCCUCACCUCCAUGUGACCACGUCCUUGGACUAGAUUCCCUCCAGAUUUCUCCCCAGCGCCGUCCAACCCGUAGCUGCAGCUCCCACCUCUUCACCAGACCCAAUACCACCCCUAGCUCUCAAAAGAAGUUCUACAGGCAAACUUUCCCAAGAAUUCUAGAAACAUAAAAGUUCGUGCCAAGAAAGCAGCACGUCUCUUCUGCUCCACUUCUGUAUCCCUGGGGCCUGGAAGGUGCCUGGCAUAAAGCAGAGCCUCAUACUAUCUGCCGAGGGACAGAGGAACCUUAUCUUGGCUUGGGUCAGGUUCAACAGCCUCAUGCAUUUGAGACCACGUCACCCGUUUGAGACGUGGCCCUCCACACAAAACGCAGCGGUGCGAUGGUGCCUCUGAACUUGGGUGAACUUGAGAGAAUCAGAGGGAAGCUGUCCCCUUAAUUUCCCAUAACAAACAAAGAGACUUUGCUUGUUAACUCGGGCCAUCCAUUAUCAGUGUCGCUGUCCUGCUCUCCUAGGCAGAUGAAAUGCACUUGGCAGACAGGGACAGGCGUCUGUAGAACAUCUGCAGACCUUCCAGCAGGAGUUAAUAAGCCAUACUAAUCAGGUGGAUGGAAGCCUAAUCUCCACAUGAAGAAUAGGACAUCUGACAUAUCAUAACGAAGAGUUAAUCUUAUCCAGGUUCAGAGCCAGAAACCUGUCAUAUGAAAUCCCAGCGAAGACCGACAUUCUUUCCAGGUGCCCAGCACACUGAUGGAAAGUGUCCCAGGCUUCAAGCUUCAAGCCUGCAAAUUUAACUCCUACCCUUUCCAACCAUCAGAAGAGGAAAAGCUGCAAGAGAGCUGUGAACAGAGCCUGUCACCUGCCAGCCUGCGGUGGGCAAGCCUCCAGCUGCCAUGUCACCUGACUGCUUCUCGGGACGCCUCCUGGUCUUCAGGCUUCCCUAGGGCCCCGGCCAGAAGAGGAGAUGGUCCCCGUGUCACGGCUCAGAUGGCCCUGUUGGCGGUCCUCCCCGACCCUUGAUGGCUGAGAUCCGCAAAGCUGGGACUAAAUGGAGAGGGAAACUGUUACAGAGAAAGAGGAAUCAGGCAAGAGGGAGAGGAUGACGCGUCACGGCCGUUACCCCCAGUUCCUAGAAAGUCUGGAAAUUCUGAAAACCUGGAAAUGUAUCAGCCAUUCCCCUUCCUGAGCCGCUGGGAACAUCAGAGAAACGAAGCCGCCAGCUGGACCCCGUGCUCCACAGAGCAGAGACCACUCUCAGGCUGAGGGCUGAAAGGAAGGGUCAGAAGAGAAGAAAGCAGAUGCCGGCGGAAGAAGACUCGCAAGUGAGGAAGACGGGCUGACACGACGUGGAUUCCAGUAAACUCGAGCUUUAGCUUGGGUCCAGCUCUGGAGGCCCGAGAGGGGAUUCAAACCAAGUUGUCGGUGGAUGGGCCCAGGGACUGAUGCCGCCCUGACGGGCGUCCCCGGGACCAGGGGACAGGACACGGGGCUGCAGGAUUGGUGUUCGUGUGACUUCAUCUCACGAUGAGCCGUGAGGGCGGAGGCGCGAGGCCUGAGCCGUGGCCUCUGGGGAAGAGCCGCGCCAGCCCCCCGGCCCCCUCCUCCAGAGGCUUUGCUAAAUCCACUGCUCAGAGGGUCACCCUUCCUGCCGUGACGUCCUCGCACCAUCAGGGCCCCUCUUAGCCGGCAAGCACGUCUGCUCUCAGGUCCUCAUGGGUAUUGUGGCGUCCAUCCCUCCCGCCUCCCAGAUGUGUGCUUAACCUGGGACCCCGCUGGAGACAGAUCAUUGAUUCCAAGGGGACGUUCAGUUUACACGCCUGCAUUACUGAGGACCAUCCCUGCGGGCAGAAACCCCCCAUUCUGCCUCCGGCCCCCACCGCGGUCGUCUCCCCAGCUCCCAGCUGACGCCUGAGCACGCGGUGGCUCUACGGAGACCUUUUGCUUCUGGGUGACAGAUGACUCUCUCCUCCUCUGGCCCAGGGAGGGGGCCCGCCGCUUAAUGUUACCAAAUGUGCCAGAAGGGGCGAAAGCUCCCUAAUUCAUCUGUGCACUUCGAGGAGAACGAGAGUGGUGAACACGCUGCGGUUCGUGGAAUAAACCUAAGUACGGUGGUUUGCAAUACGGAUUUUCCCGUCCGAGCUCUUCGAAUCUGCUCCGUCAGCACAUUCGGGCUCUGUGUCCAGAGAUACCGCAGAUGAACAGCAUCACCUCCAGCCCCGCUCAGGUAACCGUUACGGCUGAUGUGGACGAGGGGCCCAGCCGGAGGCCCUCAUCCCUACUGGUGGGGACGUCUCUCUAGAAGGUGACAAUAAGACACAUCAAAUCAUGACAAAGCGUUCCACCACGUGACCCAGAGCCUCCUUUCCCCUGAGGGCACAGCAGAGCGGUGCCCACAGACUUGUGUUUAAGGAUGUUCCCUGCGGCACUGCUAGUAGCCAGAGAAGGAAAAGCACAGACUGCCUGAAGCUCCUGCACCAGGAGGGAUCUGACCACUUCCCACACUCACCCGUUCAUGGCUGGGCCGGAGCAGGACUUCCUCAGAGCCACACCCUGCCCACCGAGGACGCCCGGUACGCGCGGGGUGAUGCUCCGUCCUUUCCCACCACGCUCACCACCUUGGCAACGACUGGAUCCCCACUUCCUUCUCCCCCACCAGGUGAUAUUUUGCAAUAAACGUCCGUUUCCUUUCUAAUCAUGAAAACAGUGGGAAAAUAGAUGGAUACAGCAACGGAUCCAGAAUUUGGGGCAUUCACCAUAAUUGGAGUCCAGGAUCUAGAUGGUUGAGGCAGCCUGCGAAACGUCCACAUUUGAACUUGCCCACGAUGUCUGUCUAUUAAAGCAUCAUUUCCAGAGCAGCUCUGUACAAUCACUUGUGAUUCUGCUAAUAACAGGCUCCUUCCUUUCUCGUGGGGACCCAUUAGGCUGAGCGCAUCAGAGGUGACAGUAACUGUUGCAAGGUACCAAGGUGACAGCCCCACAGUCGGGCCAUCGGAGCAUCUCUAGGCCAGACCUCCCCGGGCUUGGGAAUCUGCACAGUCCCAGGGACCCAGCACAUAGAUUGCUCAGGACCUUGGUUUUUCCAUCAGUCAAAUUGGAAUGUGUGUGCAUCUCUCUGGGACAGUUGUAAGAAGUAGUGAAGUGUACAGCACUGCCUUUGGGGAUAUGUGCUUCCGACCUUCUGCCCGCAAGUCUCUCGCGAGAAGAUCACCAAAUGAGGAAUGGAAUGGAGAGAAGGAGGGCUGUUCAGCCUGGAGAAGAGUUUGGUUUUUUGUUUUUGUUUUUUAAAAGGACAGGAAGUUGGAGCAUAAAAUGUGUCAUAUGUAUGCAGGAUAGAUUUGUCCCAUGUGGCGUCCCAGAGCAGAACUGGAGCCCGGGGUGGAAGUACUAGAAAGUAAGAUUUCUGCUUCCCUUAAAAAAGAACCUUCUAGGACUUCCCUGGUGGUGCAGUGGUUAAGAAUCCACCUGCCAAUGCAGGGGACACAGGUUCGAGCCCUGGUCCAGGAAGACCCCACAUGCCACGGAGCAACUAAAUCCGUGCGCCACAACAACUGAGCCUGCUCUCUAGAGCCCGCGAGCCACAACUACCGAGCCCGUGUGCCACAACUACUGAAGCCUGCACACCUAGACCCCGUGCUCCGCAACAAGAGAAGCCACCGCAAUGAGAAGCCCGCACACCACAAUGAAGAGCAGCCCCUGCUCGCCACAACUAGAGAAAGCCCACGUUGUAGCAACGAAGGCCCAACGCAGACAAAAGUAAAUAAAUAAAUUUAUAUUAAAAAAAAAAGAACCUUCUAGGAACAAAAAGUAAUCCAAAGGGCUGUCCUGUAGGGCAGUACUGAGUCACCUGUCACUGUGAAUAUUUCACUGGGGCUGGUGAUCACAGGGCAGUUUUGGGAGAGGGAUUCAGCAUUAAGUUGAAGACAGGUAACCGCUAACAUUUUUCCCAACUCCAAGAACCUAUGUUUCUGCCACUUGGCCUUUCUGAUUUUGGAACUGCUUGAAAAUAAUGUCUAAUUCCUCCCAACCAUGUUAUCUAGGUCCAGCCAGAGGUGCAAUGGCCAGAAGUUCCCCCUCCCCACUCGCCCCGGAUGGUGGAAAUCUU